rnacentral:rRNA from 1 species
GCUUUAUGCGUAAAAAGGAUUCGUCCGCCCAAGGAUGGGUUUGCGGCCUAUCAGGUAGUAGUGGGUGUAAUGUACCUAAUAGCCGACAACGGGUACGGGUUGUGAGAGCAAGAGCCCGGAGAUGGAUUCUGAGACAUGAAUCCAGGCCCUACGGGGCGCAGCAGGCGCGAAAACUUUACAAUGCGGGAAACCGUGAUAAGGGGACACCGAGUGUCAGCAUCAUAUGCUGGCUGUCCAGGUGUGUAAAAUACACCUGUUAGCAAGGGCCGGGCAAGACCGGUGCCAGCCGCCGCGGUAACACCGGCGGCCCGAGUGGUGAUCGUGAUUAUUGGGUCUAAAGGGUCCGUAGCCGGUUUGGUCAGUCCUCCGGGAAAUCUGAUAGCUCAACUAUUAGGCUAUCGGGGGAUACUACCAGACUUGGAACCGGGAGAGGUAAGAGGUACUACAGGGGUAGGAGUGAAAUCUUGUAAUCCCUGUGGGACCACCUGUGGCGAAGGCGUCUUACCAGAACGGGUUCGACGGUGAGGGACGAAAGCUGGGGGCACGAACCGGAUUAGAUACCCGGGUAGUCCCAGCCGUAAACGAUGCUCGCUAGGUGUCAGGCAUGGCGCGACCGUGUCUGGUGCCGCAGGGAAGCCGUGAAGCGAGCCACCUGGGAAGUACGGCCGCAAGGCUGAAACUUAAAGGAAUUGGCGGGGGA